GUCUCUCCAUCUUCAACUGCAUCCCCACCAGGAACCUAUAUAGUUGUUUAAGUUCUAACCUGAGGUUGAGGCUUCCCACACAGGGAAAGAGCUGUUGUUCCUAAGGAGUCGAGCAACCCAUCCAUCUGCAGGUACCAGAGCUGGUCUUGGAGCCAGGGAAACCCGGGUUCAACUUCUACCUUUGAUAGGAACUGCCUGCGUGACCUUGAGCAAAUAAUUUAAUUUCUUAAAGUUCCUAGACAACUCCAAGAGCAGUUAUCCUGGAUUUGUACUGGCACAGGAAAUUCCUUCUUGGCAGCUCUUUAAUCACAGAUUUGGCCAUUAUUAAUUACUAAUAACCCUAAUGAAAACUAAGAGAAGCGCUACUCUAACAUGGACAGACACGACUUGUUCCGACGGAGAACUCUGGACAAAAACUGAGGCUGGAGUUUGGCGCAAAACAAAGCAACAACAACUGCUAUACCAGGAGAACGUGAACCAUGGAAACAUUUUCCAUCUAUAUCCUAUGAGGCACUUUGAGGCACAUGAGGGAAGAAUAUGGAGGCCUGUCCCAUCCAAGGGGCAGAACUCUUCCCUUCUCUCUGAAAGAAACCAUUUAAACAAGUGCCUCAAAGCCAAAUAGAACUGUCUUGGGCACUAGAGUAGGACUUGCUGAUCCACUCGUGUUGUGGACUCCACUUUGGCAGGCAGGAAGCUGCUGUGAAGCAGGAGCAAAAAAGUACUGUGUUCAAGUCUUGCCUUCGAUACAUGGUGACUUCAUGACCCCCAGCACAUCUUUUAAUUUCUCAGUGUUUCAAGCAACUUUUAAGACUAUCAAUUGAAGAACAAAUGCCUGUCUGAACUGGUAGAGGGAAUUCUCUCACUAGCAGUUCCCAAUAUAAAUAAAAACACAAGUCCCCAAACCCUGA
rnacentral:lncRNA from 1 species